UACGGGGGGGGUAAGCGUUGUUCGGAAUUACUGGGCGUAAAGGGCUCGUAGGCGGCCAACUAAGUCAGACGUGAAAUCCCUCAGCUUAACUGGGGAACUGCGUCUGAUACUGGAUGGCUUGGAUUCGGGAGAGGAAUGCGGAAUUCCACGUGUAGCGGUGAAAUGCGUAGAGAUGUGGAGGAACACCAGUGGCGAAGGCGACAUCCUGGACCAACACUGACGCUGAGGAGCGAAAGCCAGGGGAGCAAAAGGG
rnacentral:rRNA from 1 species